AUAACAUGCUGCUGGAUAA
rnacentral:misc_RNA from 1 species